rnacentral:rRNA from 1 species
UACGGGAGGCAGCAGUGGGGAAUAUUGCACAAUGGGGGAAACCCUGAUGCAGCCAUGCCGCGUGUGUGAAGAAGGCCUUCGGGUUGUAAAGCACUUUCAGCGAGGAGGAAAGGAUGCUGGCUAAUAUCCAGCAUCUGUGACGUUACUCGCAGAAGAAGCACCGGCUAACUCCGUGCCAGCA